rnacentral:lncRNA from 1 species
AGUGGUAGAGCACUUGCCUACCCCGUACAGGACCUCUGGCUUGGUCCCCAGCACCAGCAAGAAAAACAAGUAACUUAGAAGAUGAUAAUUAAUGUGGUUGCUGAUAAUUCUGAAUAAAUACAGCUUUUAUCCCAGGUGUGCCAUUUUGAAGACUGAGACCAUAGAGUUCUAAGAAUAAAGGAAAGAGCCCUUGGGAAAUUAUUAUAUAUAGCAAAAAUGUGAAUCCUCAGAUGGAAUGAAAGGCCUGCACCAUAGACAUCGAAGCAUUUACACCCCGCUUGAAGAGUUUGAAAUGGACUUUACCACUGAGAAAUCAAGAUGGCAGCCCAUUAUGGGGAAUUGAGGAAAAUGGAUUAAUGCAAGAAUGCUGUAAUAUUAUACAACCAACACAGGAUUCUUUUAAUGUGGAUUCCAUGAAAUGAAUGAUUCUUACCCAACACAAAUGGACAGUGGAAUUUACUUCCUAAAGACUUGUUACAUGUCAUGUACAUUUUUGACAUCUGGAGAAGACUCUACAAUUCUACAAAUGGUAGUUUGUAUUCCUGGAAUUUCUUGCAGUUUGAUCUGAAGUGACCUUAUGGAAUGUUAACUUUAAUAAAAUCUCUAAAACUUAAAAAUUUCUCAGUUUGGGCCUUUUAUAAAUUUUUUCAGUGGACGUUUUCAUUAAAUGUUCAUUUUACCUUGAUAACAUUUUGACCUUUAUAGCUGCU